rnacentral:tRNA from 1 species
GGGCGGUUAGCUCAGCGGCAGAGCGCUGCAUUCACAUUGCAGAUGCCACAGGUUCGAAUCCUGUACCGCCCACCA